UUUUCUAGUAUGAAUUCUUUUAAUUAAUGAAGUAUCUUGUUAUUAAUAUAUAUAUAUUAAGAUUGUGAAAAAAAAGAACAUUAAACUGCCCAUAUAGUUGGCAGAAUUGGUCCCUUAAGUUUGAACAUCUGGCAGAUGUGUUUGAUUUGCAGGGGUUAUUUUGUAAAUUUUUCCCAUUCUUGUCAACGUGGCUGAAGGUUGUUAGUUUCUUUUUUUUUUAUGGAACGGACGUGUCAAUCUAAGGAUAUUUCUCUUUCUUUCUCAUCUUCUUUCUCCACCGUGUGGCUUUUAUCUCUGUUCCAAAUUCCAUCAACACUUCGAUCAUCUUGGUCUUGUCGAUGGUUCGCGCUGUGCUCAGCUCUCAUUUGGAACAUCAAGCUUUUUCCUCCGGCCCUGCGUAUCUGCUUCACUUCAUCUUAAUCAUUCCUCUUCUAGGUUUAUUGUGUAAGACCUAGAAAUUAUCCCGUUUCGUUUGUCGUCAACGAAGCCACUUUAAGCAUCAUAAUGCAAAGAUGAGGAUGAUGAAAGGAUAUUUCCCACUUUAUUGCCCCUACUACGGGAGUCCAUUCCAAGUGCAACAGAAGAUAUUGAAUCUGAAAUCGACAAUCAAAUGACAAAAAAAGCAUCCAAGGAUGAGUGCAUAUAUGAUUUGUAUGCUGUGAAAGAUGAUGAAGAUACAUCAGCCCCAUUUCCAGUAUAAGGAUUCAUCAUUUUUCUCUAUGGUUCCAUGAAUUACCUUUUUACCCUUGCCUCAUAUGGAACAUGUUGUUGGAUUUUCGUGUAGCUUCCAAGUCAAAUUUUAAUGGGAUUUAGCAUAUGGUUUGAUGGUUUUUUGAUAUUAGAUUUUUUGGUAGAAUUGUAUCUAUCAUGUGGAAGUAGCCGAUGAGAAACAAGCAUCAGAUCUAUUUCUCAACCAUAUCAAUUCAUAUAUAUCUUGAGAAAAUGAUCAUUAAAAUCAUAAGAAUUUUUGUGGUUUAAUCAUAUAAUCUCAUCAAGUAUACUCAACUCUAUUCUUAAUAAAAGUAAAAUAGAAGCUGGGAAGAUGGAGGUAGAAGAAAAAGAGUUUGAGUUGACAAAAGUAGUUUUUAUAAUUCCAUUACUAAAUGUUUCUUUUAUUUUUGGUUUUUCCUCUAAUUUAUGCUUACAAACAGUAACAACUUUUGAGCCAAGCGAAACAAUUUUUAUUUUAGUUGGCUGUUUUAUCUUGGUCUCCGUUGCUAUGUGUUUUUCUCUUGCUCCAUUUCUUUUCUGUCCAAUGGAUUUUUUCCAGUUUCUCAUUGUUCUUUACCGACAUUGAGGGUUUGUAAUUUGUAUUUUUGGAUCAGGUAAUUUUCAAUUUCAAAUUUAUGAUUGAUUUCAAGUAUUCAAUCAAGAAUUUGGUUAUGGGUUCCUGAGAGUCUUUGUAUUCAAGGUGUUUUUAUAACAUCUUCAUCUUCAUAUACAAAUCAGAUAUACGUUUUCAUUUAAAUUGAGAUGAAAUUUGUAUGCAGUCAUAACAGUUCCAUUUGAGUUCGUUCAACCUGGAGUUGUUUUCCGUGAAAGCAAACUACUUGGUAGAAAUUUACAAUUUUGAAUUUAAUGUAUGCUAUAUAGGUCUUUCAACAUGUUGGUAUGCGAUCUUUACCCUGCUUAGCAAUUAUAGCCUUGCAAAUUGGUGAACCUCUAUGAGAAAAAAAUGGAAAAUAUACAGCUGAAAAUGAAAUUAAGCAAGUGUUGGAUCACACGACAGAAUGAAUUUUGUUUUCAACAUUUUCUCCUUCUGAGACUAUGGGGGAGACGGAUGAUAUCAUGGAAGCUGUGAAGAUGGAAGCAGUUGAUUUGCUAAGAGUUAAUUUUUGAUGUUAAUGGAAAUGAUUCCAAUUGAGGAAGUUUAUGAAAAUUUGAGAUGUUCUAAAGACGGGUAAUCAUCAGAGGAUGCUGAAAAGAGAUUAGAAAUUUUUGGGUACAACUAACUUGAAGAGAAGAAGAGCAAGUUCUUGGAAGUUUUUAGUGUUCAUGUGGAAUCCUCUGUCAUGGGUUAUGAAAGUUGCAGCAAUUAUCGUUCUCCACUGCUUCAUCUUCAGGUAAGCUUUCGCAAUUGGCAGCAUACAUGUUUUUAUUAUAUAUAUAUUUUGAGGAUUAAUGGAACUGAUACAUGUUAAUCCCUAUAGCCACCACCACAACGGUUGCUGCAACAACAACUUUUAAGGCCUGUGUGACUAUUACUCAAUAUGUUACAUUAAAAAUUAGGUCUUUUCAAAUUAGACCCCUAAUAAGAAAAUAAAUAGAAAGUGAAACAUUGUUAUAGAAAGAAAUGGAGGUAAUAUGCUCUAUCUAAUAAACAUGUACAUAAUUUGAAAUGCUUAUGUGAUAUUAUUUCUUCUA